rnacentral:rRNA from 1 species
UACGUAGGGUGCGAGCGUUGUCCGGAAUUAUUGGGCGUAAAGGGCUCGUAGGCGGUCUGUCACGUCGGGAGUGAAAACUCAGGGCUUAACCCUGAGCCUGCUUCCGAUACGGGCAGACUAGAGGUAUGCAGGGGAGAACGGAAUUCCUGGUGUAGCGGUGAAAUGCGCAGAUAUCAGGAGGAACACCGGUGGCGAAGGCGGUUCUCUGGGAAUAUCCUGACGCUGAGGAGCGAAAGUGUGGGGAGCGAACAGG